GACGUGCUAAUCUGCGAUAAGCGUCGGUAAGGUGAUAUGAACCGUUAUAACCGGCGAUUUCCGAAUGGGGAAACCCAGUGUGUUUCGACACACUAUCAUUAACUGAAUCCAUAGGUUAAUGAGGCGAACCGGGGGAACUGAAACAUCUAAGUACCCCGAGGAAAAGAAAUCAACCGAGAUUCCCCCAGUAGCGGCGAGCGAACGGGGAGCAGCCCAGAGCCUGAAUCAGUGUGUGUGUUAGUGGAAGCGUCUGGAAAGGCGCGCGAUACAGGGUGACAGCCCCGUACACAAAAAUGCACAUGCUGUGAGCUCGAUGAGUAGGGCGGGACACGUGGUAUCCUGUCUGAAUAUGGGGGGACCAUCCUCCAAGGCUAAAUACUCCUGACUGACCGAUAGUGAACCAGUACCGUGAGGGAAAGGCGAAAAGAACCCCGGCGAGGGGAGUGAAAAAGAACCUGAAACCGUGUACGUACAAGCAGUGGGAGCACGCUUAGGCGUGUGACUGCGUACCUUUUGUAUAAUGGGUCAGCGACUUAUAUUCUGUAGCAAGGUUAACCGAAUAGGGGAGCCGAAGGGAAACCGAGUCUUAACUGGGCGUUAAGUUGCAGGGUAUAGACCCGAAACCCGGUGAUCUAGCCAUGGGCAGGUUGAAGGUUGGGUAACACUAACUGGAGGACCGAACCGACUAAUGUUGAAAAAUUAGCGGAUGACUUGUGGCUGGGGGUGAAAGGCCAAUCAAACCGGGAGAUAGCUGGUUCUCCCCGAAAGCU
rnacentral:rRNA from 1 species